rnacentral:lncRNA from 1 species
GAGCAAUGUCAGCCGAGUUUAAGGCAAAGAGGGAGAAAAUGUGGGCACCUGAAGGUAAAUUAAAUAUUUAUAAACACAACAGCAUCACUGCAGAUAGAAUUACUGAUUUAUUAAUAAUUUCAAUAGAAAGCCAGUGGGUGACAUCAGCAUAAGUCAUUGCUCCAGCUCUGAGGCAUGAUAUGGCCCAUUACUUCCAGCUCCAAACAGAUCUGCUAACACGAAGUUGGCAGGGAUUGUACGUUAAAUUAAGGUUGGACUGGUACACGUUUCCCUUGAUCUUGGUGGGGAUACAACCCGGAGCUGCUGCCCUCGACUAGCAGGGGAAUGCAGAGCAGAGGCCUCCCUCCCACUCUCCCCACAGCCAGGCUGCCUAGAACGAAGCAGCCCGUCUGCCCAGGGCCAGCAGCCUCCGGGACUUGGACGUAAAGGAGUUGACACCUGUGACCACAGACACUACCCUUGGCCUUGAGAGAAAAGGAGGCACCAACACCAAAAACCGGAAGCAGAGCAGUUAGCAUCGAAAACACCACCGUGUCACGCAGCCAGAAGGCCCGAGGCCCUGGUGGAGACCAAGCCUCACAGAACAGCCACUACCGAGAGGCAGCCGGUGACGGACGCCAGGAGACUAGCCUGCACCCGGGACCAGGGAAGAAGCAGCCCACGGCAAGAACAGCUCCCCCACCGUCCAGGUUGCUGUCAUCGGUUUCCACUACAGAAAUCACAAAUUAAGUCACUGACCAACCAGCACAUGUCCUCUGUCCCUAAGCCUUGCCCUCAGGGCCUUGCUGCAGGGGGUGCCACCUCCUUUGGUGAGUCCUCGGUAUUUCCCAAUAUAUCUGGCUAUACUCCCUGGUGUGUGGGUGCAACACCCCGAGUUCUGAUUGCCUGGUGGUUUGGAUAAUAUCCCAUCCGACCACAGAAGGACAAGACUAUGCCAUCACUGAUGUAUCUCCGGGACUUUCAGUGUCCUGGGGCCAGAGAGGUUUCUCAUAAAUGUGUGUGACACAGAUGGCUGGAGGAGCGGGCGGAUGGCGGGAAGGGGGUGGGCUUGG